rnacentral:rRNA from 1 species
UACAGAGGGGGCAAGCGUUGUUCGGAAUUACUGGGCGUAAAGGGCGCGUAGGCGGCCUGCUAAGUCGAACGUGAAAUCCCCGGGCUCAACCCGGGAACUGCGUUCGAGGCUGGUGGGCUUGAAUUCGGGAGAGGGAUGCGGAAUUCCAGGUGUAGCGGUGAAAUGCGUAGAUAUCGGGAGGAACACCUGUGGCGAAGGCGGCCGCCUGGUUGGAUACUGACGCUGAGACGCGAAAGCGUGGGGAGCAAACAGG